UUAAGCGACUAAGCGUACACGGUGGAUGCCCUGGCAGUCAGAGGCGAUGAAGGGCGUGCUAAUCUGCGAUAAGCGCCGGUAAGGUGAUAUGAACCGUUAUAACCGGCGAUACCCGAAUGGGGAAACCCAGUGUGACUCGUCACACUAUCAUUAACUGAAUCCAUAGGUUAAUGAGGCGAACCGGGGGAACUGAAACAUCUAAGUACCCCGAGGAAAAGAAAUCAACCGAGAUUCCCCCAGUAGCGGCGAGCGAACGGGGAGGAGCCCAGAGCCUGAAUCAGCAUGUGUGUUAGUGGAAGCGUCUGGAAAGGCGCGCGAUACAGGGUGACAGCCCCGUACACAAAAGCGCAUGUGCUGUGAGCUCGAUGAGUAGGGCGGGACACGUGGUAUCCUGUCUGAAUAUGGGGGGACCAUCCUCCAAGGCUAAAUACUCCUGACUGACCGAUAGUGAACCAGUACCGUGAGGGAAAGGCGAAAAGAACCCCGGCGAGGGGAGUGAAAAAGAACCUGAAACCGUGUACGUACAAGCAGUGGGAGCCCCACCACCAAAGCAUUCUCUGGUGUUGAAGGCCCUGCAAAGCAGCAUCGCGGUGGCGGAGCGUCGUUUGCGACGCCCAACACACAAAACAAGCGGUGAAUGCUUUGGGGUGGGGUGACUGCGUACCUUUUGUAUAAUGGGUCAGCGACUUAUAUUCUGUAGCAAGGUUAACCGAAUAGGGGAGCCGGAGGGAAACCGAGUCUUAAUUGGGCGUUAAGUUGCAGGGUAUAGACCCGAAACCCGGUGAUCUAGCCAUGGGCAGGUUGAAGGUUGGGUAACACUAACUGGAGGACCGAACCGACUAAUGUUGAAAAAUUAGCGGAUGACCUGUGGCUGGGGGUGAAAGGCCAAUCAAACCGGGAGAUAGCUGGUUCUCCCCGAAAGCUAUUUAGGUAGCGCCUCGUGAAUUCAUCUCCGGGGGUAGAGCACUGUUUCGGCUAGGGGGCCAUCCCGGCUUACCAACCCGAUGCAAACUGCGAAUACCGGAGAAUGUUAUCACGGGAGACACACGGCGGGUGCUAACGUCCGUCGUGAAGAGGGAAACAACCCAGACCGCCAGCUAAGGUCCCAAAGUCAUGGUUAAGUGGGAAACGAUGUGGGAAGGCCCAGACAGCCAGGAUGUUGGCUUAGAAGCAGCCAUCAUUUAAAGAAAGCGUAAUAGCUCACUGGUCGAGUCGGCCUGCGCGGAAGAUGUAACGGGGCUAAACCAUGCACCGAAGCUGCGGCAGCGACGCUGAUGCGUUGUUGGGUAGGGGAGCGUUCUGUAAGCCUGUGAAGGUGUGUCGUGAGGCAUGCUGGAGGUAUCAGAAGUGCGAAUGCUGACAUAAGUAACGAUAAAGCGGGUGAAAAGCCCGCUCGCCGGAAGACCAAGGGUUCCUGUCCAACGUUAAUCGGGGCAGGGUGAGUCGACCCCUAAGGCGAGGCCGAAAGGCGUAGUCGAUGGGAAACGGGUUAAUAUUCCCGUACUUGGUGUUACUGCGAAGGGGGGACGGAGAAGGCUAUGUUGGCCGGGCGACGGUUGUCCCGGUUUAAGCGUGUAGGUGUGUGUUCCAGGUAAAUCCGGUUCACUUUAACACUGAGGCGUGACGACGAGGCACUACGGUGCUGAAGCAACAAAUGCCCUGCUUCCAGGAAAAGCCUCUAAGCAUCAGGUAACACAAAUCGUACCCCAAACCGACACAGGUGGUCAGGUAGAGAAUACCAAGGCGCUUGAGAGAACUCGGGUGAAGGAACUAGGCAAAAUGGUGCCGUAACUUCGGGAGAAGGCACGCUGACACGUAGGUGAAGUGAUUUACUCAUGGAGCUGAAGUCAGUCGAAGAUACCAGCUGGCUGCAACUGUUUAUUAAAAACACAGCACUGUGCAAACACGAAAGUGGACGUAUACGGUGUGACGCCUGCCCGGUGCCGGAAGGUUAAUUGAUGGGGUCAGCGCAAGCGAAGCUCCUGAUCGAAGCCCCGGUAAACGGCGGCCGUAACUAUAACGGUCCUAAGGUAGCGAAAUUCCUUGUCGGGUAAGUUCCGACCUGCACGAAUGGCGUAAUGAUGGCCAGGCUGUCUCCACCCGAGACUCAGUGAAAUUGAACUCGCUGUGAAGAUGCAGUGUACCCGCGGCAAGACGGAAAGACCCCGUGAACCUUUACUAUAGCUUGACACUGAACAUUGAGCCUUGAUGUGUAGGAUAGGUGGGAGGCUUUGAAGUGUGGACGCCAGUCUGCAUGGAGCCGACCUUGAAAUACCACCCUUUAAUGUUUGAUGUUCUAACGUGGACCCGUAAUCCGGGUUGCGGACAGUGUCUGGUGGGUAGUUUGACUGGGGCGGUCUCCUCCUAAAGAGUAACGGAGGAGCACGAAGGUUGGCUAAUCCUGGUCGGACAUCAGGAGGUUAGUGCAAUGGCAUAAGCCAGCUUGACUGCGAGCGUGACGGCGCGAGCAGGUGCGAAAGCAGGUCAUAGUGAUCCGGUGGUUCUGAAUGGAAGGGCCAUCGCUCAACGGAUAAAAGGUACUCCGGGGAUAACAGGCUGAUACCGCCCAAGAGUUCAUAUCGACGGCGGUGUUUGGCACCUCGAUGUCGGCUCAUCACAUCCUGGGGCUGAAGUAGGUCCCAAGGGUAUGGCUGUUCGCCAUUUAAAGUGGUACGCGAGCUGGGUUUAGAACGUCGUGAGACAGUUCGGUCCCUAUCUGCCGUGGGCGCUGGAGAACUGAGGGGGGCUGCUCCUAGUACGAGAGGACCGGAGUGGACGCAUCACUGGUGUUCGGGUUGUCAUGCCAAUGGCACUGCCCGGUAGCUAAAUGCGGAAGAGAUAAGUGCUGAAAGCAUCUAAGCACGAAACUUGCCCCGAGAUGAGUUCUCCCUGAGACUUUAGGUCUCCUGAAGGAACGUUGAAGACGACGACGUUGAUAGGCCGGGUGUGUAAGCGCAGCGAUGCGUUGAGCUAACCGGUACUAAUGAACCGUGAGGCUUAACCU
rnacentral:rRNA from 1 species